rnacentral:rRNA from 1 species
GACGAACGCUGGCGGCGUGCUUAACACAUGCAAGUCGAACGGAAAGGCCCUGCUUUUGUGGGGUGCUCGAGUGGCGAACGGGUGAGUAACACGUGAGUAACCUGCCCUUGACUUUGGGAUAACUUCAGGAAACUGGGGCUAAUACCGGAUAGGAGCUCCUGCUGCAUGGUGGGGGUUGGAAAGUUUCGGCGGUUGGGGAUGGACUCGCGGCUUAUCAGCUUGUUGGUGGGGUAGUGGCUUACCAAGGCUUUGACGGGUAGCCGGCCUGAGAGGGUGACCGGCCACAUUGGGACUGAGGGACGGCCCAGAAUCCUACGGGAGGCAGCAGUGGGGAAUAUUGCACAAUGGGCGGGAGCCUGAUGCAGCAACGCCGCGUGCGGGAUGACGGCCUUCGGGUUGUAAACCGCUUUCGCCUGUGACGAAGCGUGAGUGACGGUAAUGGGUAAAGAAGCACCGGCUAACUACGUG